GAUGAAGAACGCAGUGAAAUGCGAUAAGUAAUGCGAAUUGCAGAAUUUCCGUGAGUCAUCGAAUCUUUGAACGCACAUUGCGCCCACUGGUAUUCCGGUGGGCAUGCCUGUUCGAGCGUCAUUAUCCUCCCUCAAACCUCGGGUUUGGUGUUGGACCCAAGUUGUGUGAACAACUGGUCUUAAAGACAAUGACGGCGUCCGUGGGACCCUCGGUGCAACGAGCUUUUAGGAGCACGCGUCGAGUUUCAAGGACCUUCCGGGCCGGUCUCCUUUACCAUUUUACAAGGUUGACCUCGGAUCAGGUAGGAAUACCCGCUGAACUUAAGCAUAUCAAUAAGCGGAGGA
rnacentral:misc_RNA from 1 species